rnacentral:lncRNA from 10 species
CCUGCAGGCGUACAACUAACAAGCUGGGUGCAGAUAAGAGACUACAGCUCCCCGCAUCCCAAGCAAAGGUCCCUCCUCUACGGAGCCCCUCCACGCGUCCACUGCGGUUCCGCCGUGCCAAGGGGAGCUUGGCUGUUCACGGGCCUCACCUGCUAGCGAGAAGAUAGCUUGGCCGGGCGGCUGAUCUCACCUUGUAAUUCUGACACUGUGUCUCCCGGGCUUGUCGGCUUCAUGACUUGUGCCCAAAGUUUGAUUUCUCGCAGACCAGGAGGACCCAUUGGACCCCCGGGCUGGCUGCAGGGCCCACACCUGGGUUAGACCUCGCACAGGGACGCUGCUGCCACUGUAAUAAAGCGUGCCUACACGCUUCUGAAACUGGUGUAGGAACAACCUCAGUUCUGUGAAAGGCGGACGCAGCAGGACAGAAUCUCCGUGGACAUCUGUCUGGAGGAGCAAUUUUACUGCGACAUUUUAAAGAAACAAAUUUAAUUGAUUUCCAAGGGUGUCCAUCGCGCUUCCUUCACUGCCUUGAUCAUGUCGGGGUCACCACCUGCGGGGGUUUGUCCUGCAGACCCUGACUCAACGACGGAUGAAUAAUGUACACUGACACAGAUCUUAUGCUUGUCAGUCCUGCUGAGCAUCCAGGCCACUUACAGACUCCAAGAAGAGUCCUGUCAGCCACGGCUCUGACUUGUUGGCCCUCCCGGCAUUUAUUUAGCACACAUUUAAUGACAGAAGUCUCAGGCUGGAAACACUCUUUUUGUAGAACAUACAAAUGGACAUUUCUAAGCACAUUGAGGCCUAUAAUGAAAAAUCAAAUAUCCCACAAUGAAAACUAGAAGGAAGCUAUCUGUGAUAAUGCUUUGUGGUGUAUGGAUUCAUCUCACUGACUGAAACCUGAGUUUUGAUUCACCAGAAUCUAUGCAGGGACAUUUUUGUGCUCAUUGAGGCCUACUGUGAAAAACCAAACAUCAGGGGUGGAGCCAAAAAAGCCAAAUAGGAACAGCUCCAGUCUACAGCUCCCAGCAUGAGCCACACAGAAGAUGGAUGAUUUCUGCAUUU